UACGUAGGGGGCAAGCGUUGUCCGGAAUACUGGGCGUAAAGCGCAUGUAGGCGGAGGGGUGUGUCGAACGUGAAAGGCUGCGGCUCAACCGCAGAGCGCCCGUUCGAAACUGCCUUUCUUGAGGGCCGAAGAGGAGAGUGGAAUUCCCGGUGUAGCGGUGAAAUGCCGUAGAGAUCGGGGAGGAACACCCAUGGCGAAGGCAG
rnacentral:rRNA from 1 species